GAGGAUUUAUCCUAUGAGGAGAUACCAAUGUGCAUUAUAGACUAAAAAGUAGAGUACUCUACAAUAGAGAAAUUUCAUUCAUCAAAGUUUUAUGGCAGAAUCACACACAGAAAGAUACCACAUAAGAGCUAGAAUCGGACUUCAUAACCCAGUAUCCCCAACUAUUUGACUAAGUGAGAUAGUGACAAAUUUGAGGGACCAAU
rnacentral:lncRNA from 1 species